rnacentral:rRNA from 1 species
GAAUUCGCCCUUAGAGUUUGAUCCUGGCUCAGGAUGAACGCUAGCGGCAGGCCUAACACAUGCAAGUCGAGCGGUAGAGAGAAGCUUGCUUCUCUUGAGAGCGGCGGACGGGUGAGUAAUGCCUAGGAAUCUGCCUGGUAGUGGGGGAUAACGUUCGGAAACGGACGCUAAUACCGCAUACGUCCUACGGGAGAAAGCAGGGGACCUUCGGGCCUUGCGCUAUCAGAUGAGCCUAGGUCGGAUUAGCUAGUUGGUGAGGUAAUGGCUCACCAAGGCGACGAUCCGUAACUGGUCUGAGAGGAUGAUCAGUCACACUGGAACUGAGACACGGUCCAGACUCCUACAGGAGGCAGCAGUGGGGAAUAUUGGACAAUGGGCGAAAGCCUGAUCCAGCCAUGCCGCGUGUGUGAAGAAGGUCUUCGGAUUGUAAAGCACUUUAAGUUGGGAGGAAGGGCAGUUGCCUAAUACGUAACUGUUUUGACGUUACCGACAGAAUAAGCACCGGCUAACUCUGUGCCAGCAGCCGCGGUAAUACAGAGGGUGCAAGCGUUAAUCGGAAUUACUGGGCGUAAAGCGCGCGUAGGUGGUUUGUUAAGUUGGAUGUGAAAUCCCCGGGCUCAACCUGGGAACUGCAUUCAAAACUGACU